rnacentral:lncRNA from 1 species
CAUGAGUUUAUUUCUGCAGUUGAGAUUGCUCAUUUUCAUCACUGUCUUCGCGCAAAUCAUGCUCAUCAUCACCAACAUUGUCAUCCUCAUCUGAUUCAGGUCCACUAGCAUCAUCAUGGGCAUGAUCAGGCACACUACCAUGACCAAUAAUCCCGCUAACUCUUCCGGACUUGUUUGCAUAUUCUUCAAGGGAAGUUGAGGGAAACACAUCACCAACCUUGCUGCUAUC